UGACCUCAAAUCGGGUGAGACUACCCGCUGAACUUAAGCAUAUCAAUAAGCGGAGGAAAAGAAACUAACAAGGAUUCCCCUAGUAACUGCGAGUGAAGCGGGAAAAGCUCAAAUUUAAAAUCUGGCGGUCUUUGGCCGUCCGAGUUGUAAUUUAGAGAAGCGUCUUCCGCGCCGGACCGUGCACAAGUCUCCUGGAAUGGAGCGUCAUAGAGGGUGAGAAUCCCGUCUUUGGCACGGAUGCCUGGUGCUUCUGUGAUGCGCUCUCGAAGAGUCGAGUUGUUUGGGAAUGCAGCUCAAAAUGGGUGGUGAACUCCAUCUAAAGCUAAAUAUUGGCGAGAGACCGAUAGCGAACAAGUACCGUGAGGGAAAGAUGAAAAGCACUUUGGAAAGAGAGUGAAACAGUACGUGAAAUUGUUGAAAGGGAAACGCUUGAAGUCAGUCGCGUCGACCGAGACUCAGCCUUGCCUCGGCUUGGUGUACUUCUCGGCCCGACGGGUCAGCGUCAAUUUUGCCCCUCGGAUAAUGGCAAGGGAAAGGUGGCACCUUUACGGGUGUGUUAUAGUCUCCUGUCGCAUGCGAGGGGUGGGAUUGAGGAACUCAGCGUGCACCUUGGUGUCGGGGCUUCGGCCCACGUCACGCGCUUAGGA
rnacentral:rRNA from 1 species